AUUGAACGCUGGCGGCAUGCCUUACACAUGCAAGUCGAACGGUAACAGGUCUUCGGAUGCUGACGAGUGGCGAACGGGUGAGUAAUACAUCGGAACGUGCCUAGUAGUGGGGGAUAACUACUCGAAAGAGUGGCUAAUACCGCAUGAGAUCUACGGAUGAAAGCAGGGGAUCGCAAGACCUUGUGCUACUAGAGCGGCCGAUGGCAGAUUAGGUAGUUGGUGGGAUAAAAGCUUACCAAGCCGACGAUCUGUAGCUGGUCUGAGAGGACGAUCAGCCCCACUGGGACUGAGACACGGCCCAGACUCCUACGGGAGGCAGCAGUGGGGAAUUUUAGACAAUGGGCGCAAGCCUGAUCCAGCAAUGCCGCGUGCAGGAUGAAGGCCUUCGGGUUGUAAACUGCUUUUGUACGGAACGAAAAGCCCUGGGUUAAUACCCUGGGGUCAUGACGGUACCGUAAGAAUAAGCACCGGCUAACUACGUGCCAGCAGCCGCGGUAACAC
rnacentral:rRNA from 1 species